CUCGGCGCAGGGCGUGGAGCCGAGCGGGCGCGCGUGGGGGGCGCAGGCUCACCCACGGAGGUGCUGCAAGUUGAGAGAAUCCUGUAGAGAACUGAAAAUAGAGUUUUAUGGUUUCAGAACUUGAAGCAACAUUUAUUCAUAAAGAUAAAAUGCAUACUCUCCAGAGCAGUUGCCUGAAUGAUAGCUAAGCAACACAUUUGAGAGACUGUCACUAUGAAAAUUGUUUGUGUCUAUUGCUGUUGUAUUUGACUAAACCAGCAAAGAGCCACUUGUUUUGAAAUGCAGCUAAAGAAAAUGAGGGAAAUUUUACCAAAACUGUAUACAAGCCAAGUUAAUGACAUAAAUAAUUCUUUGACUACAUCUCCAAAGCAAGCCAAUGAGGAUGAAGCAAAUCAACCAAAAGGGACUGAAGGCCAGAAUUGUGUCUAUCAAGUGGCUGAAGCUGAGGAUAAGCUGUCAUUGGUCCUUUGUAUAAAGUGCAGAAGUGUGCAAAAACUUCCAGUGCAUGAAUUACAAAAGCAUAACAAACCCAGGCAGACUGAAGACAAAAACUUCAUUUGCAGCAGCUGUAGUCUGAAUACGCCACCGACUUUCCAUUUUGUAGCUGACAAUGCCACGGCCAUAGAUUUAGAAAAUCAAGAAAAACCAUCCCUAAGUAAAACUCAAAAAACAUUUAAAGUAAAAAACUUUCAACCAGACAAAUAUUACUGUGAUAAAUGUCGAUUUUCAACAAAGGAUCCUUUGCAGUAUAAAAAGCAUGCAGUUCAACAUGAGGAGAUUAAGUUUGUUUGCUCCCAUUGUAACUAUGUAUCCUACACCAAAGGAGAAUUCCAACGGCAUUUGGUGAAACACACUGGAACUUUUCCAUAUCAAUGUGAAUACUGUGAAUAUGGUGCUGUUAGACAUGAUUAUAUAGUUAAGCAUACCAGAAGAGUACAUGAAACAGUUACUGAGAAGGGGCCAAUGAAUAUGGCUACAAAACAAGAGCAAAAGAGAUCUUGCUUACCAAAGAGAAGCACGUUGUUUUCUGAAAAGCAGAAGUGUGAUCAAAAAGUUCCUCUUCAGAAUGAGCCUUCAGAUUUAUCAUCAAGUACAACUUGCAGCAAAAUCCAAGAUGAAAUGAGCAAAAGAGUUUGUUUGUCUGGCGAUGUAGAAUGUAGCCUAGGUACAGCAUCAAUCCGAGAUAAAACUGUAUUGGAACCAGCUGAAUUAAACAUAUAUGAGAACCAAAAUGUGGAAGUUGAAGUUUAUUCUCCAAAAAAAGAGCCUGUACAGCCUGGAAUGCCAUUAACAGUGAUUGCACCUUCAGAACUUGUAGUUCCUUCUAACUGCUUAGCUCAGUUAUUAGACAUAAAAAUAGUGAAUGGCACACAACAAUUGGUUCUUAAACUUAUUCCUCUUAAAGAAACAAGUAAUAAGCCUAUAAACUCCGAAGAAGAGGAACUCAGGAAUCAAGGUGCAGAACGAACAGAGAAAGGAAAAAGAAUAACUUCUGUUGCUCAAAAUGAAUUAACCACCCAAGCAACUGUAAAUGUAUCUAGUAUUAGUAACAUGUUUGCUUUAGAUACGAAAUACAACAAGAACUCUGAAUGUCUUAAUUCCUCCAAUUCUCAUACUUCAGACUGUAACUCAAAUGUACCUAGGCAGGAUAAAUCAAAAAUAAGUUGCCCUAAAUCCUCAAAUAAGGAAAAAUAUGCAAAAAAUGAUUUAUACUGUUCUAAAGAGACUCUGGACAUGUCCAUAUGUUCAUAUGCCGCUUCCUCUGAAGGUGAUGGAUCCCAGACUGUUUUGUUGCAGGCGGCUCAGAGGAGCAACAGUUCCUCUUCAUCUCCUGCCCUUGGAGAAAAGGACAUAUUGCCUUUAAAUGGUGAUGACAAAGAAUGCAGGAGCCACUUCAUUAGCUCUCUGGAAACACAUUUAUUUGAUACCUGUUUGGUUAAAGAAUCUUUUAAAACUUCUCAAGGAGGGGGAGAGUUCUCAUUAAAUAAAAGUGCAUCUUUAGAGGAAUCAAGUGUUGUCUUAAGUAAAUUAAACAGAGAGAACUCUGAUUGUCAAAAUAAUCCUUUAGAAGCUUUAGAAUUGCAGAAUGUAGAAAAUAAGGACAGCCCUCCUGAGGGUCCUGUCAUUUCAUCUGUAUUUUCCCUUAGCUCUGGGGCUGAAAACAUCCCAGAGGGAAUCAAGUGGGAUAAUACUGCAUGCAAUAAAAAGUCAACAACAAUGCUGUGUAGAAAGAUUGCUCAGUUGAUGUCUGCUGCCGAGUGUAAUGUGAAAUCUACAUUGACUGCUUCACCUAUGCCUGUUAGAUGUUGUGCUUCUAAUAAGAUGCCUUUGCCUCAGGAAACUUUAGCAAACUCUGAAAAAAAUGUCCCUGUUACUGAAUUGGAACAAUUUGCAUCUUCUCGUCAAACACCGCAGAAUGGUGGGAUUGGUAAUGAACUGUGUAAUAAACAACAACCACAGUCACGGUCAGCUACAACAAAAACUAAAAGUAGAAUGACUAAAAACACUCACGUUGCUACUCCAGUGUUCAUUCCAAAAGGGACAGUGCUGAGGGUCCUGAAUGUCGCUAGGAGUGAGAACACAAAAGAAGCAGGAGAUAAGAACGAAAUGACAUCUGCUACGAUGUGUUGCAACGAAAUGUUUCUACCACGACCAGUUCCUUUCAGCAUUUCUGAGAAACUAAACAGUAACUUUCCUUUGCUCAAUGAGAGUGAACUUAAUGAGCAGUCCAGAAAUCAAAAUAUGUCACUUAGGCACAGACCAAAAAGAGAGGCUAAUGCAAAAAGUAAUAGCAAACAAAAUUGUGUACUACUGCAUCAAAAAAGUGAUGAGCUAAGUAAGCAGAGCAAACUUACUUCAAAGGAUCAGCUUGUACCUAAAAAUAAGGUAAAACAAGCAAAUUCCAGGGAUUAUUUGUCUAAGAAGAAAACAAGAAGCCACUCAGAAACCAGUGCCAUUUCUGAGGCGAUGCCUCUUUUGACAGCAAGACGGCUUAGGCUUGUACCUCUUAGAGAACAUCAGUUGAUAAAAUGCCCUCGUCGUAACCAGCCUGUAGUUGUGUUAAAUCAUCCUGAUGUUGAUUCAGCAGAGGUAAUUAAUAUAAUGAAAAUUGUCAACAAGUAUAAAGGCAAUAUUGUGAAAGUCGUUUUAUCAGAAAGAACGAUUAGUUGUCUUGGUGUGAAACAGUAUAAUAAACGGCUUACGUUUCAGAACUUGGAAACAACAAGCCAAAUGAAAAAGCAGAACUUUUUAAAAAUGAAGCUAAAAAAGACCCAUAAAAACAACUACCGGGUUGUGGAAACGUCACCAGCUAAAACACUGCAGUGUAUGUUUAAGUGUUGGUUUUGUGGAAGGAUAUAUGUAGACCAGGAAGAGUGGAUAAGUCAUGGACAGAGACAUUUGAUAGAAGCAACCAAAGGCUGGGAUGUUCUUUCUCUUCCUCUAGAAAGCCACAAGUGAGAGACUGUCAGUUUACUGCUCUUUUAUUUUAACAUGAGUGCCAUUAAUUUGUUUGGAAAGGGAGACAGAAGUAAAUAUUUUACUGGAGGAUUUUUAUAUUUAGCAGGUGGGAGAGUAGUAAUAGGGAUUACAAACUGUAUGAGAAGCCAGUCUUGAGCUCUAAACACUACAUGCCUGAAAUAAGUGUUACGGCUAUUCCUUGCUUUUUUGAAGGAGACCUGGAAAUGAUUUGCUCUGAAAACAUUCUAGUGUAAUUCCCUUCAGUAGGAUACUAUAUGCAGUAAUGUUAUGUUGCAAGGUCAAUACAGAUUUAAAAUAUCCAACUAUAUGACCAGCUUAGUGGUUCAGAGAUCAGGCAUAAGUCUAAUGAAGAGCAUCUUUGACCCUUGUAUGAAUAAAAAUACGUUCAUCAUAAUUUAGUAGCAAAUUAAAAAAAAAAUGUCAUUGAGGAAGAAACUGGUGCUGAAUCUGAUCAGACUCCAACUUUAUGGAACAGAAGUAACUCCACUGACUUUAGUGGAGCUACACCAGUGUAAAUGAGGAAUUGGUGAGAUCAGAAUCAGACCCAUUAUGUGGAAUGGCAAUGAAAGCUUAAUUCUGUGUUGUACAGUCAGGGGCCAAGUUAUGUAUUGUGCCACACAGGUGUGAAGGGGGAAGAGGACACAGGUGACUACUUACUGUGCAAGCAGGAGCUCAACUUAGAGUGCUUGAAAUGAGGCCUGGCUUCUUUACUGGCUGGCAUGAUUUGAUUCUGAUGGAUUGUGCUUUAAUGAGUUAGGAUCUGACCACACCAAUGCAUGCUGUAGGGCGUAAUGAUCAGUGCUAUGUGUAAUCCCAUUAGAAACGUACAUGUUCAGGAUAGAGCCUUUAACCAGGAUCCCAGCCAGCCUAGCAACUAGUGCAUAGAUGGGAAGAACUAGCUGGAGAAGCAAACUGUUGCUUUGAAAAAAGAGAAGUUAUGUUGCAGAACUCUACAUUGCCAGUACCUAUCCACAUUUUCAGUAGAAUCUUUGUUUUGACAUCCUAAAUUUGAAGAAUUUGAACGUUAGAAUCUACACAUGUAAGUCUCAAUUCAGCAAGCUACUUACCAAUAACAAUAAUAAGCGCAUGCCUAGGCAUGUGCAUACUCCCAUUGAUUGCUGUGUGACUACUCAGUGAAGUCAAUAGGAUGAUUCAUGUGCUAAGUGCCUUGCUGAAUGAAGGUGAGUUUUUAGUGGGGAAAGAGGAUGAAUGAUAGUGAAGUUUAAUAGUUGGCCACUGACGUAUAGAAUUUCCUUGGUUAUCUUGUCACAAAUUGUAAACCAUUUUAUUUUUUAAAAUUUCAUGUACAGCAAGUGAUGACUUGAGCACAUAUUUGCAGUCACAUUUCUAUAGGUAAAAAAAUCAUUACUUUGAUGCUGGAGAUGCAUUAUACAUUUGAACUUUGAAUAAAUGCUUGUAGUUCCUAAUUGUUAACAAUGGAAAAACACAUUUUGUUAAAAAAACAAACAGACAAAAAAUACAACACCCCUCCUACCCUCCCAUCCCAAACAACCUACUAGUCUGGGAAUAUUUUUGAUUUUUUUAUACUCUAGAAAAUUAAACAUGCUUUUGAUAAGAUAUGUACUAUAGCUGUACUGAAAUGUAAAUACUUUGAAACUGUAAAGCACAUGUUGAGACUUAGGUCUAAUUUACAAAAACAGCUAUGUGAAACUUUUUUGUCAGAGCAUUUUGCAAUACAAUAUUAAAAUCUUCAGAUAUUUGGUGCUCUCAGAAGGGAGAUCUUGUAUUACUUUGCAACUUUUUGUAUUGUAGUGAGAGGCUAAACUGUUCAAUAGAAUACAUUUUGUAUUCUCUGGUUUUUUCAGUAAUUAAAUAACAGUUCUUAUUUUGAAAUGGGAAUUUAUAUUUUUUUAGAUCGGUACAGUAGAGAUUUUCACUGUGUUCUUUGAAGCCAAACAUCAUAAUGUUUUAAUUUUCAAUUGUGAAAAUAGUUUCCAUUUCUAAAUUCUGUCAUAUCAGAGUAUAAUAAAUAUUGAAACUGCUAACACAUGAAAAACCACUUCUGAUCAAAUUCUUCCUCACUUACACUCAUCAGCCCAGGCAGAUGUUUGAACUGACUUAAGUUUCUGUAGAAGCUAUUAAGGAAAUACUUUUGAAUCCUCUAUUUGUUUAAGAGAUGUCAUUGGCAAAAUAUGAAUAUCUUCAAUCAACUUCGUAUUCUUAAUAAUAGUGUUGCGUGCAGGAUUAUAAACAGAUUGUAGAUGGGUUUAGUAUUGUUUUUCUUUGCCUAUUUUAGUAAACAAAGAAGAGUUUUUUGUAUCUGAAUUGUUAAUCUACAUAUAACUGUUCUCCCUGUAUUCAGUUUACAAAAAUAAGUUUUUAUAUUAACAUGAACAUUUUUAGUAAAUUGAAUUGUAUGGUGACUAAAAAAAAAUUAGACAGCAGAUCUCAUGCCUCUUUCUCUUGCCAAGGAUAUCCAAACUCUGCCCAGAUGGGUGUGUCUCUAAUUUUUGUUUUUUGAUGUAGUAUUGUCUUUGGUUGGUUUUUCCUUUUGGAAUUUUAAUAAUUUUGUGACUUGAGAUAAAGUGUGUGACCCAGAUUCUCUCCUGUGCUGAGCUUCAUUUGACAGAGUAUGCUCCGAGAGAGAGAGGCUGUCUGGGAGUUGGGUAUGGCUUUCUGUUUCUCAGGGCAGAUCUGCACCUUGAUGAGCCCAGUAGAAAUUAGAACCGGGGUUGGAAUACCCUAUUAGUGCUCUAUAACAUUUUUUUUUCCUGCAUCCUGCCAGACAAGAUACUCUUUCUUGUUCCUGAUUUGUUAAAGGACCCAUGACUGAUUCUGUUUUCUAUUAUAUUUUAAUCAUCUAACCAAUCUGGUGAGAAGCACGCUUGAGAGACCCACUGAAGGUUUGAGGAAGAGAAGCAAGACUUAUCCUUUCCAUCAAUAAGUGUAAUGGGAACACAUGUGUAGAAGUCAAUGAUUUCUUGCACAGAAUCAAACUUCUGAAAAACAAUAAACAAUUGAACAGAGAAAUGCUGAAAAUCCGUAUCUUCUGAUAUGAAACAGGGAGAGGGAAGAAGCAUCACCACUGUUCCCCUGGACCACACUGUGGUCCCAGGAAAAGAGCUAGACGCUCAGAUCUGAAAGAGUCAGCACUUUUAGAGUGCCUCACAGCCAAGACAAGGGGGCUCCAGCAACACCUUGGUGAUGAACCUUUUGAAUCCGAGGGAUGGAACAUAUAUAUUCUUGGUGUGGACGGUCCCUUUAAGAGCUGAGUGCCGGCUGGAAUCUGCACUGUGAUUAUUAAGUUUAUUAUAGGAUUGGCUACAAGCAUUGUCUUUGGUACGAGAUCUAAGUUGCAACUGGCCUGGGGUAAGUGACUCAUUCUUGGGACUGGGAGUUGUGACAUGAUCAGGUUAAAUAUGACCAUGUAGAUCAUUGUUGCUACCACUGUUUUAUAAUUGCAACAAAUCUUGUACAAAGUGUGGCAUGUAAGAUGUCCAUGGAAAAGUUACGAUUUCCUGAAUAUGAUUAUGCCAUUUGUAUGCAUGUAUUAUUUUUGUAUCUAAAGUAAUGAAUAUGAACUAGAUACCUGUAUUUCAAAUGUGUUUGCUUCUGGGUAACACCAACAAGAUAUUUAGCUAGCACAUUGUGAAGGAACUAUUCAAGUUGAAUGGCCCAUCAAAGAACACUUCACUCACAAUAGACCACGGAAGUUGCUUAUCUACACUUAAUGGACUUUCCUGAGAACGUUCUAAUUAGAGUAUGGCUAAUGGCUUCUGCUAUGACUAAGUGAAGCAUGCCUGGACAUGUGACUUGCCCAUGUGACUCCAAACUCCAUCUUGUCACCUGUAAUUUUCCACAAACUAGAACAAUGGGUUUCCCUUCAUUUGGCAGAAGCUAUAACAG